UAUUUGACCCUGGCGGACACGCGCUGGGCCGGGGCACCCAAUGAUCUCGCGAGGUGUCCCCUCCAGCCUUAAACGUCCGCGAACCUGAAACGUGCUCCUGUUAUCCACUCAUAGUCAAGAACUGAGUGCAAAGUUAAAAGCGAGCAAUUCCCAGAGGGUGCCUCGAGUCUAAAAAGGCUGAGAACGGCUGGACGGGCAGCUCCGCAACCCUGCUUGAAGCCGUGCGGCAGCCCCAUCCUCCCCACCGCUACGCCAACAGGGGGACGCCGAGACACAAGAGCACGAGGGAGCUCGAGCUCUAUGACUGCGGCGCUCAGCCCCAAGUCCAGCCGGCGGGGACAAGCAUCCAGCUUGCGGGGAUACCACCGGAUUGGAAAAUGCACGCUGUGCAGCCACAUCCAGCCCUGUCCAGAUGGCGCCGGGCUUUUGGGGGGCCCAGCUUCCUGACGCAGCACUGGGGAGACUCGAACUCAGUGCCCGGCUCCUCCCCUGUGCUGUGGUACCUGCCUCCCCACCCCCCUGCCAGUAGGGGGCAGCAGCAGGCACUCCGUCCCCUAACAGCCCGCACUGCGCAUGUGCACCGCUGCCCCUGACGUCACCCCCAGGCCCUUGUGCCUUGGCAGCCUGCAUUGCGCACGCGCACCACUGCUCCUGACGUCACCCCUCCAGGCCCUUGUGCCCUGGCAGCCCGCAUUGCGCAUGCGCACCGCUGGUCCUGAUGCCAUCCCCCCAGACCACGCCCCCAACGGCCGCCCGGCCCCGCCCCUAACGGUCGUCCCGCGCGGCUCGCGCUCCAGAGGUGGCGCUCACGGCCACGGCCCCAGCUUCUCCGCUGUUGAGCCUCACAAUGUCUCAUGGAUUGAUGAGUCCACCCCGAGUCAUCAGCAGCACUUGCCAGGCUGUGGUUGUAAUGCAAGGUGAAGAGCGUUCUCUGCAAGUGGCUCCUUUCAUUUAGAAGAUGGACCGUGAGAGCCAAGGUUUGACCCCUACUGCCACAGCCGGCACAGCUGAGUCAGUGCCAGAGAGGAAGUGAGCUGCACCAGGAAACGUUCCCUGGGACUUGGAGGAAGCAGGGACCAAAGUGAGACUCUGUUAAAUUCCUCUUCUUCCCCUGGGUUAAUGUCUCUGUGUGCUGCCCUGACCCUGGGCUGUUAAUAAAAUGCUAAAUAUUACUA